rnacentral:rRNA from 1 species
UACGUAGGGGCCUAGCGUUGUCCGGAAUUAUUGGGCGUAAAGAGCUCGUAGGUGGUUCGGCAAGUCGGAUGUGAAAUCUCCACGCUUAACGUGGAGGGGCCAUUCGAAACUGCUGUGACUUGAGUCCGGUAGGGGAGUGUGGAAUUCCCGGUGUAGCGGUGAAAUGCGCAGAUAUCGGGAGGAACACCAGUAGCGAAGGCGGCACUCUGGGCCGGUACUGACACUGAGGGGCGAAAGCGUGGGGAGCGAACAGG